GGUCAUCCCAAGGUCGAGCAGAGAACCAAAAAACAAGUAAGCUCUCAAACUAUGAAAGGUUCGGAAAAGGGCUAUUAGCUCAGGUGGUUAGAGCGCACCCCUGAUAAGGGUGAGGUCCCUGGUUCGAGUCCAGGAUGGCCCACAUCUAAAAACCAAAACCGAAAUCCAAAGUAAAUGGAUGUAAUUGGGAAGAAAUUCAGCACUACUCAAAAGUAAAAGAGUAAAUGCUGAAGGAAACUUCAGCCCAGAACCUUGAAAACUGCAUAAGAAACCAAAAAGUGUAGAGAGUCCUGCUUUGCAGGAAUCUUAAAACAAGUUAGGUCAAGUUAGAAAGAG
rnacentral:tRNA from 1 species